AGAUACCCUAUUAUUUUUAUUGUAAAAAUUAAAACCUGAGUAUUAGUAGCUAUGAUCUUGAAACUUAAAGAAUUUGGCGGUAUUAUAGUCUAUUUAGAGGAAUCUGUUAUGUAAUCGAUAAUCCGCGAUGAACCUUACUUAUAUUAUUUCUUGUAUACCGCUGUUUUUGAAUAUAUUUAUAGAUGUAAUUUUCUUAAUAUAAUAGUAAAUAAUAUUUCAAGUCAAGGUGCAGUAAUAUAUAAGUUGAAUAAUGGAUUACAAUAAAUUUUAUUUAUAAUGGAUUAUUAAUUUAAAUUUAAUAUGAAGGUGGAUUUAAUUGUAAUUUUUUGAAGAUUGUAGAAAUGAUUUUUAGCUCUAUAAUAUGUACACAUCGCCCG
rnacentral:rRNA from 1 species